GGCCAGUUAGCUCAGUGGUUUGAGCGUAGUGCUGACAACAAUGACAAAACCGAGGGCGUGGGUUCGAUUCCCGCUCGGUCUC
rfam:Apaloderma vittatum contig910, whole genome shotgun sequence.